CUUACGAAUUGCUGUAAUUUGCCCUUUACAAUUCCAUUAACAAUUUUCUACCUAGAUAUCCGAGGAUACCCGAUAUAGGCGCGCGCGACACGGGACCAGACGACAAUCUCGCGCUUGUGUUCGGCUGAUAUAGAAGUCUGGAAUUUACUGCCAUCGAUUUACACGUAACGAUCGCUUGUGAUAUCCAGCGGAGUCGCUAACAACUUGGAACAGGGGCGAGUGCGGCCAUCACUGUCACCAGGCGCUUGGAAAAGUUCGUCAAGCGUUUCUGUGACUUGGCACGAAGAAUACAACCGGAAGUAGCUGAGCGGAAAAUGUGAAUAGACAUCGUGUGUGUGCAGUUUUGUGUCGAAUAUGGAUUGAAAGUCUUUUGAAAAAUGAAACUUGUUUAACCCGGGUCUUUAAGUGCGGCACUGAGUCCAUUUAGAGUUCAAGGAUUGAUGGCCGUGUUUUAUAGACAAUGAACAAUGAAAAUAACCGUUUAAAGAAAUAACUGAAGAAAAUCUAUUCGGUUUGAAGUACAACGGAUCAGAAUUAAGGCUACUUUGGCUAUUAAUUUGGCAUCACUAAAGUCCUGCAACUUACAAAACGUCGAAAGUUGCCGUUUAACAUUUAUCGUCACUAAUUAAGUAAUUACCUACAUAAACCAGCUUUAUUCACUGCACUUAUUUGCUAAGAUUAGUCUCUAAUUGAUAAGAUUAACUACUGAUAUCGUUACUAUAGUAAUCUUGUUAUUGGAUCAUCAACAUAUGUGUGUCAUCGUUAGUGGAUUAUAACAUAUAAGGGGUUUUGUUAUUAGAUCACAGAACAAAGCUGUUCCGUUCUUAGGUCACCGAAAUACGUGACUGUGUCAUUGGAUCACCAAAAUACGUGACUGUGUCAUUGGAUCACCGAAAUACGUGACUGUGUCAUUGGAUCACCGAAAUACGUGACUGUGUCAUUGGAUCACCGAAAUACGUGACUGUGUCAUUGGAUCACCGAAAUACGUGACUGUGUCAUUGGAUCAUCGAAAAACGUGACUGUGCCAUUGGAUCACCAAAAUACGUGACUGCCUCAUUGGAUCGUCAAAAUAAGUGACACUUUAUUGGAUCUUAAAAAUAAGUGAAAACGGAAUCAAUCUUAAAACAAGUGAAGUCUUUAUUUGAUUACGAAAGAGGUAAACUGGUUCUUGUAUUUCAAAUCUAUCGAAUCCCUUGAGUGACUCUAAAACAAUGUCGAAGAGCACGGACACCGAGCAGGUAACCAAAGGAGAACGGAAGGAGUAUCGCUGGGUGGCGGAGUUCCUGGCGGGACCGGGAGGCUAUAUGGAAAAAGCGGAAGUGGUUAGCGACUGGUUCCCUUCGUUAGAAAACGCUAAGGACGACGCAUUGAGCCGGGCCACAAAGGAAGUUGAGUCAUAUCCUUACUCGCGCGGCAGGAUAUUGAAAAUGUUUGUGGAAGAUAAGGAAGGUGACGUCGUUGAAUUGAGCAACGCUCGCCACAUAACACGGGACCGCUGACAGGCUGGCGGCCGUGUGUCCGGUGUUUUUUGUAUAAUAUAGUUGUGGUUUUAAACAAAUUAUAUACGUAUAUGGGGCAGGUUGCAUAUGAAUGAUUUAUGUUUGUGGAUUGAUUAUAAGAGAUGACAGUCUUGUUUCGGCCAUUUAAACUAGCUAGUCCAAAUAUAUUCGUAAUAAUCAGAGGCGUAUGACACUCUAACCUUCUCACCCUGUGAUCUCUGUACAAACGCCCCUAAUAAUAUUUUCCCAAUGGAAGGAGGUGGUGGGAGGACGUGGGCUCUAAAGUUUUCCAGGGUUAGAUGCCCCAAAUAUGAACAAAGCACGAACGCCGACCAUGUAUAUUUCUUGGAAUCGUUCAAAUUCUACCACCAUGGCACAUCGACGCCAGAUAUCAGUAGACCAGUGUGUUAGAUACAGUUACCUGUCCUUCCAGUCAGAUAAGUUGGAUAGAAUGGCAAGGUGCAUAGGACGGAGACUUGUAUUAUACUAAUAGUAUUUGGACAUUCAUAUUUCGGGCGGUGAACAUUUUGAGUUUGUAUAACGUGGGUUAGUUUGUUGUCGCUCUUUGUCUGUGCUUGAUUGUUAUUAAUGCUUAUGGACAUCCCUAACAACGCUUCGUAAUGUUUUUAUUUAUUUUUAGAUAUGAAGUUUGUACGUGUACGUAUUCGGUGAUUGAUAUAAAUGAUUAAUGGAAUUUCGCUCUAUGAACGAGAUAAUACUGUGAAUGUGAAUUGCAUCUUUAAAAGUCGAAACUCGCUAUGCCGAACUGUUUUCUCGAUGUUCUCGCUAUGUCGAACUGUUUUCUCGAUGUUCUGGCUAUGUCGAACUUUUCUCAAAGGGUUUGGGUAUAGUUUAACAAUUUUUGUAUUUCGGUUAUAUCGAAUAUUCGUUACUCGAAGUAUUUCCCGAGGAUCCAACGACUUCGACAUAGCGAGUUUUGACUUUAUUUGUAUUAAUUUAUUUUUGCAUUUUUUUCCAAUAAAUUGAUUUAUGUACAAAUUAAUAGUGAAUUAUAGUUAUGCCGGUGCAGUGACCUCGAUAUCUCAAUAGACUACCAGCCAAUUGCGUUUCCAGCUUUAAUGAAAGGAUAUAUUUAAUUUUUAGGUAUUUUUGGCGAAGAAAUUUAAAUACAGAAUUUCUCAAUAAGUAAAAAAAAUAACUAACAAGAAAUCUAACUACAAAUGACCUUGUUAGAGCUCUAAAUCCUGCCGUACGAUGUUUAAAACUUAAAAUCUAGGUUGUAUUACUGUCCGUAUACUUCUUUUAAAGCUGCACUCUCACAGAUUGACCGUUUUUACAACUUUGUUAUAUUUUUCUUUUUUGGCGUAAAUUUGUUGACACCAGCGAAAUAAGAUUGCUGACAAAAGAUCUGAUCGCAGUUUUCCAUACUUUUGUUCACAUAUUGACGUUUAUGGCUAAAACCGUUACUAAUGCUUUAAGAAAAAUAAAUUAAUAAAACUUUUAGGCAGUUUUCCCAUUAAUUGAAAUCAGUUUUAUUGUGAGUCAUCUAACAUGACUGAAUUAAAGGCAUUGAUGCCAAAGCUGAUUCCAAGACAUUUUGGAACGUCAAAACGGACAAUCUGUGUGAGUGCAGCUUUAAGAACGCAUUUCCUCAAGAUUGAAAUCCGUAGUAUUAUUGUAAUUCUUCUCUUUAUACCAGAUAUAAGGCAACGUAAUGCGUUUCCACGGUCGCAGAGUUGAGACUUAUGCACCAGUCAAUUGUAACCACGCCCCCCAGGUCCGGGGGUAUACCGGGAUAGCCGGGGAAAUGGGCCGUGUUUUUACCUUUCAGGUGGCCCCCGCAGUGCCAGGUGAAUGCGGUGGUUUUGUCUUCGCACAAAAUAUAGUGUGUUUUUUUGUUUUGAAAUUUUAAUGCAUUAUCGUGUUUAACUCAUAAAUGUUUAAAACAAAACAUAAACCAUUAAACUGGCCCCAAUUUCUCGAAACUUCUUAAGCUUAACAGGCAUAAGUCGCUUAUUUCAAUUAGCUAAAAUACAUACUGAAAAUGGAUUUUGCUAUAUGAAAAAUGGUUUAUUCUGAUAAUCAUACAGAUUAUUCCAAAAUUAUUUCUAAAUAUUCUUGACAAAGUAAUUAUAACACAUUUUAUAGAACAACAAAAAUAGUGAGAUUAGCUUAAUCUUUUUAUAAGGGACUUAAGAAGUUUCGAGAAAUUGGGGCCUGGUCUUCAGACAAAAAACAAAUUCGAGAAAUUUUGGGUCUUUUUAACUGGGGAAUUCGUGGCCACGUAGAUAUUAAUGAAAAAUAGGGUCAAAAUCAUUUAUAAGGCGUUUUUCUUCAUAUGUACACAAAUUCAAUGUUGUUGUUUUUAUUUAAGUCAAAUGACUUAAACAUAAUAAUGCAUUAAAAAUGUUGUUGUUUUUUCAUCGACCUAUAUUGCGCCCAUUUAAGUACAUGUUGUCGUUGGAUUGUAUACAUGAUUGAACCUUCAUAACAGUGUGAGAAUUAAGGUACCCGAUAUACAAGUCAGCUUAUAUUGUUAUCGAGCCAUUGGCGAUAAUGAUAAAAUAUGAUGACUGGUGACCCCAUAUCAUUUUGGUGGUAUUUGAAAGGGUAUUUUGCUUGCUUAUUUCUAUACAGUCGGACCCCAUUGGUUCGAUCUCCCUGGGACCGACGAAAAUACCUCGAGCCUCGGGAAAAUUCGAGCCAAGUGGGAAUGCUUACCUUCAGAAUAUAGAAAUCUGUCCUUUACAUCCAGUUCGAGUAAUCGAGGAAUUCGAGUCAAGCGAGAUUGAGCUAACGGGGUUCGACUGUAUGUAAAAUUAUUUGUCAAAUUUCAUUACCGAUAUAGUGAUUGCAGUUCGUAGUUUUGGUACUUAUUUCAACUGUAAUCGAACGUGAAAUAACCUAUUCUGCAAUCUUUCUUGGUAUAAAAUCCUUGUUUGUAACAUUUGUUUGGGUUUGAUAUUAACAUAUUCUUUCUUUACUCUCUAAACCAUUUCAAACAAUACCAAAACUAAAGGGUGACCUGGCAUCCAAAUUUCAAAUAAUUGUACAUCGGGAACCGUGUUUUUAAUUCAUAAUAUGUCGUAUAACAUACAUGUAUGUGCAUAUUGUAGCGUGUAUUUUUCUAUAAUUGUCAUUUUAUUACCAAUUAUGUGAUUUUUGAAUUUAUUAUUUCUGCUAUAAAACUAUGGUUUAGACAUUUUAAGUCAAUAAACAUUAUAACACCUGACA